CCCGAGGCUAGAGUCACAUCAUGAUACUGUCAUUUGCCAUGGUGUGCAACAGUGCUCGGAGAGAAUUACUGAUCUUUAUUCACUGGUUGAUUUCACUGUAACUCAGCCAGUCACCUGGUCAGUGACAGAU